rnacentral:lncRNA from 1 species
AAAGAUAAACGUGCUAGGUGAGUACGGGGUGUCUGCUACCUUUAAUGUUGUUAAUCUUUCUCCUUUCAAUGUAGGUGAAUAUUCAAGGAUGAAUCCUUUCAAAGAAGGGGCAGAUGAUGUGAGCUAAGGAAGUAACUAAGAAGAUUUCCCAAGAACCCAAGAAUAUUCCUACAAGAAAGCCUGUAAACACACUCACCAAAAGCCACUCGCAUGAAAGAAGAUUCUCC